rnacentral:tmRNA from 1 species
GGGGUCGAUCGGUUUCGACGGUGACCUGUUCGCUGCAGGGAAGCGUGCCGAGAACGCCGGGUCCGCUCGUGGAUGACCCCGGCAAAAGAAUAAGUGCUAAAUCUAACCGCACUGAGUUCGCUCUCGCUGCCUGAUUUUUAGUCAGGAUUAACCAGUGAGCAGCCGCUCCGUUCACUCCUCUUCGUCUUUGGGAGGAUGCUGAGCGUCGUUAAGAAGACUUGCUGAUGGAGUUGAGCCUCAGGGCUCCAUCAGGACUUUUACUGCCGGGGUUCGAUUCCCCGCGACUCCACGA